rnacentral:ncRNA from 1 species
AGUUCGGUCCCUAUCUGCCGUGGGUGUAGGAAUAUUGAAAGGAUCUGUCCCUAGUACGAGAGGACCGGGAUGGACGGAUCUCUGGUGGACCUGUUGUGGCGCCAGCCGCAUAGCAGGGUAGCUAUAUCCGGACGGGAUAACCGCUGAAGGCAUCUAAGCGGGAAACCCACCUUAAAACGAGUAUUCCCUGAGAACCGUGGAAGACGACCACGUUGAUAGGCCGGGUGUGGAAGUGCGGCAACGCAUGAAGCUUACCGGUACUAAUAGUUCGAUAGGCUUGAUCGU